UAAAGCUUGUUUUUCACAGUUAUUUGGUCACUUGUAUGCAUUUCACACAUCUGGAACUAGUUCUAGAUAGGUGACAGAAAGCCAUUAUUUGAUUGCAGGACCUGCAGCCCCCCUGUCACCCAGUGUGUUCUUGGUGAGAGAUCAGGAUGCUGUCGCCUGCCUGAUCAGGAACUUCUACCCCAAGGAACUCCAUGUAUCCCUGACCUCCUCCGGGACCCUGAUCUCAGCUCAGAGCCUGUCUCUGGCUCCAACGGCCAGUGGCACCUACAGUGCUAUCCACAUUGGCAGGGUUGGUGAAAAUGAUGCAAUAACCUGCUCAGUGAAGCAUCUUGGGAAAGAGAUACAUAUGUCUCACCAGGCAGUUUCAGAUCAUACUGGACCAGACCCUGGGAUUGCCUCUGAGCUGAAACUGUCUUGCCCUGAGCAGGAUAUCACAAGACCCGAGCAGGGAAACAAACUACUCCUCAGUAUGCUGGGCCUGAGAUUGCUAUUCAUGAAGACUGUGGCCGUCAAUGUCAUAUUUACCACCAUGACCUUGAUCUUCUAAGAAAGAACCUUGAGGAAGAUCAUCUAAGAAGUCACUAUUUGGAUCCUGGAUACCUUUGGGGACCCCAGAAUGACCUCUGGAUUACCUCAAGAUAAAUCCAGAAUGACUCCAAGGACUCAUAAUUAACCUAGUUGCAUUCAAUCUCCUUUGAACCACAAACUCUUCAUUUCUAGGUCCAUGUCUUCCAUGAUAUAUUAUUUUUCAUGCCUUGUCCUAUAAUAAAGACAAGAAAG